GUUUCUGUCUGGAGUCUCUGACAUCUUCCCAUCUUCAGAGUGGGUGCAGAAGUUGCGCACUCCGGCAAGCGCAGAGGCCGGCACUCCAUAAAAGAGAAGUGCCCUGUGUAUGUGAGCCGUCAGCGACCCGCAAGAAGGCUUUUCUUAGUUUUCAUUCUUAGUUAUCGUUGAAAUUUAGUGGCAAACUUUAGAAAGAGUCUGCAGUUCCUUUAGGGGCAUGUCCUGAAUCGCACAAUGGAGAGACAGGAUUCGGGGAGGGAGGAAAAUGUGGGGGAAAGCAGAGAAGAGGGAGAGGGGAAAGAGGAGAGCCAAACGCAGGAAGCAACAGACCCAAACUACAGACCAUUAUCGAGGGAGGGAACAAAGGAGGCACGAACCUCUCCCCAACCCUGUAGCAGUAUGAACCUGCAUCUAGAGGCUGCAAUGGAGUCCUGAUUUAUGCUAGGCCCAGUUCCCCAAGUCUUUGUGGGGAAAGCAGCCAGGCAGACAACACACCAAGGGUCCCAGGGAUGUUUUUUGAUGAAAGGCUCAACAGAGAAAGGAAUUGGGAAAAGCUGAGAAAGGCCAGGCACAACUCAGCAUGUCCUGCCUUUGAGGAAGCCGGAAUCAGCCAUAGUGACUGUGGCUGGAACCCCCUGUGCUCCCUCAGCACAAAGAUACCUGCUCUGAGUGUUCUGGUGAUGAGACUUGGCCCCUAAGGAACCUAUGGACCUAAGCCACAGUAGCACUUUGGGUAACUCCGGGAGGUUUUCUGUAAGACUGUAGCUGUGUGCCAGGAAGACCACACCUACACAUCACAUCUCUUUGGGGACAUCGAGCGGGAAGUUGUGUCCUUUCUUUACCUCAUUGCAUCGCACAUUUCCUAUAAUAUCCCUGGCACGUGGACCUUGCUCAUUAUUCUGCACAGCAUGGCUUAUUCCCCAUUAGCAUUUCAUAAUAUUUGCCAUUAGAAAGCAAGUCCUGUGACAGGAAGAGAUGUUAUAAACUGGAUGUUUAAUUAACAGGAAUAAAACUAUGGUCAAUCA
rnacentral:lncRNA from 1 species